UUAUAUUCUGUAGCAAGGUUAACCGAAUAGGGGAGCCGGAGGGAAACCGAGUCUUAACCGGGCGUUAAGUUGCAGGGUAUAGACCCGAAACCCGGUGAUCUAGCCAUGGGCAGGUUGAAGGUUGGGUAACACUAACUGGAGGACCGAACCGACUAAUGUUGAAAAAUUAGCGGAUGACCUGUGGCUGGGGGUGAAAGGCCAAUCAAACCGGGAGAUAGCUGGUUCUCCCCGAAAGCUAUUUAGGUAGCGCCUCGUGAAUUCAUCUCCGGGGGUAGAGCACUGUUUCGGCUAGGGGGCCAUCCCGGCUUACCAACCCGAUGCAAACUGCGAAUACCGGAGAAUGUUAUCACGGGAGACACACGGCGGGUGCUAACGUCCGUCGUGAAGAGGGAAACAACCCAGACCGCCAGCUAAGGUCCCAAAGUCAUGGUUAAGUGGGAAACGAUGUGGGAAGGCCCAGACAGCCAGGAUGUUGGCUUAGAAGCAGCCAUCAUUUAAAGAAAGCGUAAUAGCUCACUGGUCGAGUCGGCCUGCGCGGAAGAUGUAACGGGGCUAAACCAUGCACCGAAGCUGCGGCAGCGACGCUGAUGCGUUGUUGGGUAGGGGAGCGUUCUGUAAGCCUGCGAAGGUGUGUCGUGAGGCAUGCUGGAGGUAUCAGAAGUGCGAAUGCUGACAUAAGUAACGAUAAAGCGGGUGAAAAGCCCGCUCGCCGGAAGACCAAGGGUUCCUGUCCAACGUUAAUCGGGGCAGGGUGAGUCGACCCCUAAGGCGAGGCCGAAAGGCGUAGUCGAUGGGAAACGGGUUAAUAUUCCCGUACUUGGUGUUACUGCGAAGGGGGGACGGAGAAGGCUAUGUUGGCCGGGCGACGGUUGUCCCGGUUUAAGCGUGUAGGUGUGUGUUCCAGGUAAAUCCGGUUCACUUUAACACUGAGGCGUGAUGACGAGGCACUACGGUGCUGAAGCAACAAAUGCCCUGCUUCCAGGAAAAGCCUCUAAGCAUCAGGUAACAUCAAAUCGUACCCCAAACCGACACAGGUGGUCAGGUAGAGAAUACCAAGGCGCUUGAGAGAACUCGGGUGAAGGAACUAGGCAAAAUGGUGCCGUAACUUCGGGAGAAGGCACGCUGACACGUAGGUGAAGUGAUUUACUCAUGGAGCUGAAGUCAGUCGAAGAUACCAGCUGGCUGCAACUGUUUAUUAAAAACACAGCACUGUGCAAACACGAAAGUGGACGUAUACGGUGUGACGCCUGCCCGGUGCCGGAAGGUUAAUUGAUGGGGUCAGCGCAAGCGAAGCUCCUGAUCGAAGCCCCGGUAAACGGCGGCCGUAACUAUAACGGUCCUAAGGUAGCGAAAUUCCUUGUCGGGUAAGUUCCGACCUGCACGAAUGGCGUAAUGAUGGCCAGGCUGUCUCCACCCGAGACUCAGUGAAAUUGAACUCGCUGUGAAGAUGCAGUGUACCCGCGGCAAGACGGAAAGACCCCGUGAACCUUUACUAUAGCUUGACACUGAACAUUGAGCCUUGAUGUGUAGGAUAGGUGGGAGGCUUUGAAGUGUGGACGCCAGUCUGCAUGGAGCCGGCCUUGAAAUACCACCCUUUAAUGUUUGAUGUUCUAACGUGGACCCGUGAUCCGGGUUGCGGACAGUGUCUGGUGGGUAGUUUGACUGGGGCGGUCUCCUCCUAAAGAGUAACGGAGGAGCACGAAGGUUGGCUAAUCCUGGUCGGACAUCAGGAGGUUAGUGCAAUGGCAUAAGCCAGCUUGACUGCGAGCGUGACGGCGCGAGCAGGUGCGAAAGCAGGUCAUAGUGAUCCGGUGGUUCUGAAUGGAAGGGCCAUCGCUCAACGGAUAAAAGGUACUCCGGGGAUAACAGGCUGAUACCGCCCAAGAGUUCAUAUCGACGGCGGUGUUUGGCACCUCGAUGUCGGCUCAUCACAUCCUGGGGCUGAAGUAGGUCCCAAGGGUAUGGCUGUUCGCCAUUUAAAGUGGUACGCGAGCUGGGUUUAGAACGUCGUGAGACAGUUCGGUCCCUAUCUGCCGUGGGCGCUGGAGAACUGAGGGGGGCUGCUCCUAGUACGAGAGGACCGGAGUGGACGCAUCACUGGUGUUCGGGUUGUCAUGCCAAUGGCACUGCCCGGUAGCUAAAUGCGGAAGAGAUAAGUGCUGAAAGCAUCUAAGCACGAAACUUGCCCCGAGAUGAGUUCUCCCUGAGACUUAGAGUCUCCUGAAGGAACGUUGAAGACGACGACGUUGAUAGGCCGGGUGUGUAAGCGCAGCGAUGCGUUGAGCUAACCGGUACUAAUGAACCGUGAGGCUUAACCUU
rnacentral:rRNA from 1 species